rnacentral:rRNA from 1 species
GAACGCUGGCGGCGUGCUUAACACAUGCAAGUCGAACGGAAAGGCCCUGCUUUUGUGGGGUGCUCGAGUGGCGAACGGGUGAGUAACACGUGAGUAACCUGCCCUUGACUUUGGGAUAACUUCAGGAAACUGGGGCUAAUACCGGAUAGGAGCUCCUGCUGCAUGGUGGGGGUUGGAAAGUUUCGGCGGUUGGGGAUGGACUCGCGGCUUAUCGGCUUGUUGGUGGGGUAGUGGCUUACCAAGGCUUUGACGGGUAGCCGGCCUGAGAGGGUGACCGGCCACAUUGGGACUGAGAGAGGGCCAAGACUCAUACGGGGGGCAGAGGGGGGGAAUAUGGCACAAUGGGCGGAAGCCUGAGGCAGAAACGCCGCGGGCGGGAUGACGGCCUUCGGGUUGUAAACCGCUUUAGCCUGUGACGAAGCGUGAGUGACGGUAAUGGGUAAAGAAGCACCGGCUAACUACGUG